rnacentral:rRNA from 1 species
AACGAACGCUGGCGGCAGGCUUAACACAUGCAAGUCGAGCGCCUCGCAAGGGGAGCGGCAGACGGGUGAGUAACGCGUGGGAACAUGCCCAAAGGUACGGAACAACUCCGGGAAACUGGAGCUAAUACCGUAUGUGACCGAGAGGUGAAAGAUUUAUCGCCUUUGGAUUGGCCCGCGUUGGAUUAGCUAGUUGGUGGGGUAAAGGCCUACCAAGGCGACGAUCCAUAGCUGGUCUGAGAGGAUGAUCAGCCACACUGGGACUGAGACACGGCCCAGACUCCUACGGGAGGCAGCAGUGGGGAAUAUUGGACAAUGGGCGCAAGCCUGAUCCAGCCAUGCCGCGUGUGUGAUGAAGGCCUUAGGGUUGUAAAGCACUUUCGCCAGGGACGAUAAUGACGGUACCCGGAGAAGAAGCCCCGGCUAACUCCGUGCCAGCCGCCGCGGUAACAC